AGAAUGUGGAGAAAGUCUUUGUGGAAUUCAAUCAUGGAGAACUAUUUGAGUUCUAUAACAAGUUGGAAACAAUACAAAUGCAGCUGGAUUCGCUUACAUGAUACUACGUGAAGACUAAUUUCUCCAUUAUGCUCCAGCUGCUUUGAUACCGAAGAUAUAUCGGCUGACUGUAUUUGCUGAAAUACUGAGUGGAUUGCUGUCAAUAAAUGAUUUAAGUUUCUUUGAUCAUUCACAUUAGCUAAAUGAAAUCAUUGUUAAGAAAGCUUUGGUUACAAUUGACUACAUGGUAUUAAACUUUAAGUGAAGCAUUUCACUA